GUCAUAACAGAUUAAAAUAUCUUUGUCCACCAAGUUUGUUUGUUUUCUACAUUCAUUGGAUUAUAAUUCUAUCAAGGUAAUAUUUAAGACUCAGCUUGUUAGAAUUCUUAACCUCUUGUGAUUUAAAAAAAUUUUUAAUUCUAGCAUAGUUAACAGUGUUAUAUAUGUUUCAGGUGUACAAUAUAGUAAUUAGACAAUUCUAUACAUUUCAGUGCUUGUCAUGGUAAGUGUACUCCUAAUCCCUUUCAACUAUUUCACCUAUUUUGAUAUAUUAUAUAUAUAUAUUUAAUAUUUUAUUUAUUUAUUCAUAAGAGACAGAGACAGAGAGAAAGGCAGAGGGAGAAGCAGGUGCGGGACUUGAUCCCAGGACCCUGGGAUCAUGACCUGAGCCGAAGGCAGAUGCUUAACCAUCUGAGCAACCCAGGUGCCCCUAUUUUGAUAUAUUAUAAAGUAGAACUUAUAGACAACUAAAACAGAAAAGAAAGUUAGAUAAUUAACUAUUAAGGAUUUUAAACACAUGAACAGUGAAUUAAGUAGGCAAUUGGGAAAGUGAGCUCUAUCAUUACACCCAAAAUCUACCAUAUUUAUAAAUGUUAAAUAAAGGAUUGCUAACAUUAUCUCUAAAUUUGUUUGAAACCAGAGAUUCUCUACCCUAGAUCCAUGGACCCCAAGUAUGGAAUUUCAAAGGAUAAACUUCUUGAAAGUAUUUGAAAAAUUCUGUGUGCAUGUGCAUUCUUCAGGAAGGAAUACCCUUCAUUUUCAUCAGAUUCUCAAACAAAUCAGUAUUGGAGUCUGAGCACUGAUUUAAAUGAAUAAUGCUUUCUUCCAUGUACAAAAAAGCUAAAAGAUAAAAUCAGUGCAUAAAUAAGAUAUUUCUGAAAAGAAUUUUAUUAAAAACACUUAUCACUGGCACUUUUUUACUAAAUGCUCUGUGACAAAGCCUAUUUAAAAUGGAUUUAUAGAUUAGACUUGAAUGUAAUGAUUAAAUAUCUUUAACAACUCUGUAAGUCCCAUCUGAUAAACCAAAGGUAGAUGAGAAUAUUUCUAUCACCUGGUUAUCUCACUGUGUUUGAAUUUCUUACCGUGUUUUGAUAUGCACUAUUAAAAAAAAUGAUUUAGAUAAUUAUUCCUGAAUCCUUACUUUCAACUUUAAGAAUGAUAAAUUUUUAGCCUCUUUAUAAUAAAAAUACUUAGAAACUUAUUUUGAGCUAAUAUUGCCAAAAGAAAGCUAAAUGCUUGGAUGAGAGCCCUUUCUUUUACCAUAUGUAUGUGUGCAUAGUGUCAAAAACAGAGAUGGUUUACCUAUUUGUUUAAUUACAUGAGAGUAGGUGAUUAUCUAUCUAAAAGAGCAAGAAUGGGCCUGAAGAAAUGUGAAGCAAGGAGAUCUACCUUCCCUGAUUUUCCAUUCAGUUUGAAUAACAUUGGCAAUGCAAAGUAAAGACCUACUGCCAAAGUCAAUAUCCUAGAUCUCUAUUCUAAGCAACAGCUUUCUUUGUGAUAAUAGUGUUUAUGCCAUCUGUCUGUUUCCAAUUCAAGUCCAUUUUUGAUUCAAUGACCAGAUGUUUCACAUUGUGGGGCCAUUUUGUUACCCUCUCCCUCUGCCUCAGAAUUAGUGUAUUUACUCCAGUGUUGAUGCUGUUUAUUUUUUCCUUUUUUCUUUCUUUUUGCAUUUCUGACAUCAUAAACUACUGUCUCUUGCAUUUUUUCCAAGUCAUGAAAUAGAUUUCCCAUUUCCUUCUUUACACGGCAUUUCCUACAAAGUCAGUCUUCUGAAUGUGUUUAUAUUUGUAAUGUCACUUAAUGAUUGCUUAUGUACAAUGUUUAUCUGAUUUUUCAUACUAUACAAAUGAAAUUUUUUAGUAUAAGCAACCUAUAUAAGUAAUACAUUUUAAAUUAAAAUCACUGAGUAUCUGAUUCCUCAGGGAAGGGCAAAUUACUGUAUUAAUUAACUUUUUUCUGUGCUUUGCUACUCUUAAAUAUUUUCUGAAUUCUCUCUAUAAACUUGUAUAUUUCCAGUCUCAACUCCGAAGAGUUAGUUUUGUUCAUUUUUAGAUAAGAAAAUAAAAACAGCUUUAGAUUAGGUUCCUGGGGUGCCUGGGUGGCUCAGUCAGUUAAGUGUCUGCCUUGGGCUCGGGUCAUGAUCCCAGGACCAGUAUCAGGAUCGAGCAGCGUCAGGUUCCCUGCUCCACGGGGAGCCUGCUUCUCUCUGUACCCCUCUCCCUGCUUGUACACACACACACUCUCUCUCUCUCUCAAAUAAAUAAAAUCCUUUAAAAAGAAAAGAUUAGAUUAGGUUCCAGUCUCAUCUUCUACGCAGAUUUUAUUGAUUAUUCUAAUCCUGGAGAAAAUUUUUCAAAAGUAUGCUUGGUGAUUAUUCUAACAACCUCUGCAUGCUCUCAUUUCACAAAGGGUAGAUGUACAACAGCUGGAGUUUUUAAUUUUCUAUUUUGUCAUUGGCAUUGGUGAAUAGUAUGGGAAUUUCUUUGGAAAUGUCCCUGUGAUUGUUAUAUUGUCAUGGGCUAUUUGAAUAUUCUUUCUGGCAUAAGUGCCAGGUUCUAAUACCUAAUAUCUAUAAUGGUCAGGCUCUAGAAAGGGCAUUAUUUUUAGUAAAGAAGCCAAAAUAAUAACAUUUUAGGAUGUGCAAUGUGGAAGGAAGUACUAUCAACUUUUAAUGCCUACCUACUGUGGUAGUAGCUGCCUGAGUUCAGUUACUCUAUGGUAGAGCUUUUGACUAGACUGGAACCAUAGGUUUCUAUUAUCUUAAUGGUAAAUAAGAAAAGGCCUCAUGUCAUACUCAUGUCAUAUUUGAAUUUUCUUUAAACCUCAAUAUGAAAGAGUGUAUUCUGUCAUCAGUAUUUAUUGUAUUCUUUAUUCUAGGCCUUUGCUCUCCCUUAGUGGAUACUCAGCAACUAUAACAUCCAUACCCAGUGGUAUUAGGUUCCUCUGGAGUUUACUUAUACACAAAUUCUUUCUACUUUAAAGGUGAAGAUUAAAUAGUAAUUCCUGGGGCGCCUGAGUGGCUCAGUCGUUAAGCGUCUGCCUUCGGCUCGGGUCAUGAUCCCAGGGUCCUGGGAUCGAGUCCCGCAUCGGGCUCCCUGCUCAGCGGGGAGCCUGCUUCUCCCUCUCCCACUCCCCUGCUUGUGUUCCUGCUCUGUCAAAUAAAUAAAUAAAAUUUAAAAAUAAAUAAAUAAAUAAAUAAAUAAAUAAAUAAAUAAAUAAAUAAAUAAAUAAAUAGUAGUUCCUGCAAGGAACUUUGUGAGGCAUAUUUCCUCACCUUAGGAAUCACUGCCUCCUUUGUACUCUUCAUACAUUUCUUGUAGCAGUUUUUACUUAAUGUGAUUGAAUAUUUGGGCACAUAACUUACCUCUUCCAUGUAUUUUAAGUCCCUUGGUGGGAGAUAAAGUUAUCUCUGUGCUUUCCCAUUACAUCUAACACAAUUACCAGGAUUCAUUUGUGAAUUGAAUUGAUUGAUUACUCAGACUGUGCUUAGCCAAAUUUCCUUGUGCUCUCAAUUCUUUCCACAAAUUUCUGUUUCAGUCAUUCGGGUCCUGCUAUGUUCCUGAAAUUAGUCUAAUAAAAGGAUUCAUGAUGAAUUAGUAAUAGCUAUAAAUUAUAUUUUCUUAAAUAGGCAUUUUAAUUUUAACCCAAACUUGAUUUUAUUAAGCCUAAAAGCUUGAUAAUAAAAGACUUCCAAGUACAAAGAUGAGCAUGUAAGAGUAGAGCCUUUGAGGUUAAGAGAGGGCACCCUGUCACAUAAUAUUGCAUACUUUUCAGAUAAAACAGCUCCUAUUCUUUUUAAUCAAACUAUAACAGUGUAGGGCUAUUUACACAAAGCCAUUAAAGUCUGCUUUGGAUGAUUCCAUUGAACUUCAUUACAAACACCGAUUAUUCAUUCUCAAACUUUAGAAAAUUUAAAGUGAAUCACCAUGAGUUGUUGCUGUUGUUUUAAGGUGAAUUUCUAUGCUCCAUCUAUGCCCCCAUUUAAUUUUAUGUGUAUGACUUUCGGGAAUCUCCAUUUUCACAAACACCCAGUUGAUUCUGAUGUUGGUAGUCAGAGGACCAUAUAGCAAGAAAUCUAAAUGAUCUAAAGAUGAUGCCCCCAAAGUUAAAAUUUAUUUCCCAAGAACAGAGAUUAAGAUACUUUUAUAUCCUUCAGUGACUUUAUUUUUAUUUCAUCCGUUUUAUAAAAUGUGAAUACAGUGUGUUUCAAAAUUUUGAUGAAGAAAGGCUAGAAAAGAGCAGCUGAAAUAUUUAAAAUGGAAACACUAAAAGAAAAAUUAUGCAUUUCCAACAUUUUAUAUAAAUUUUAUAAUUAAGAGUAAAACAUAAAAAGUUAUUAAGAAUAUACAUUGCAUUAAGGCAUAAACCUAAAUUUUAUAUUUACUAAUUUUUAUGUUCAAUAAGUAUAAAUUACGUGUUUUUCAAAAUUAAAAAUGAAAUAAUAUUGAAUUUCAUCACUCAGGACUUUCUAUCAAUUUUGUAGUUCCUUUUAUGUUUUGUCAAAUUAUAGAUUUAUAAAUAAAAAACAUACUAAGCAUGGUUUUCAUUAAUGGUAUGGUGAAUCUUAGGAGCAUUUUUCCCCCCCAGGGGAAAACUAGCACAGUGCCCUGUGGCUCAGGAAAUUUUCAGUGAAUUAAUAAACGAAUUUUUCCAAAAGUCUCAUUUCGAUUGUAUCAACUAUUACUACAUCUUCUAAUCAUAAAUGGGGAGAUUAAAAAUCCACACUCUUGUUCACAUCUCAUUUUAAUUUCAUGGAUCAUAUAUAAAAUCAAAAAAGAUGGGAAUAUCUUGAAAGUCAAAAUUAUCUUUUCAUAGUUCUUUCAUUUUACAUCAAUUCAUGUAGAAAAUAUGUUUUAAUCCUUCACUGUGUGCCAGGCGCAACUUUGAAACUAGAGAUAAAGUGGUAAAACAGGUAAGAAAUACUCUGGUUCUCAAAGAAAUUAAAUUCUUAUUAGAGCAAUAGAGAAAAAUACAAUACAUAAGUGUGAAGCCAGGUCAUAAUGAACUUGUACAUCAGGAUAAGAAGUUUGGAUUUUGUUCUUUGAACAAUGGGAAUCAUCAAAGGAUUUGGGUUGAAAGCAAGAGGAUAACAUAACCUAAUUUAUGUUUUAAAUAGAUCCUGUUGGCUGCUCUGUGAAGAAGCAGUUGAUAGGGACAACCUGGGAGACAGGUUGGAAGACUGCUGCAGGAGGCAGUUAUGACAGCUCUGACCAAUGUGGUAAUUCGAGAGAUAAAAAUCAACUGGACAAAUUUGGGAUAAUUAUAAAUGAAUUUAGAUACCCUUUUGUUUCUUGAGUAGAGGACAUUAUUUUGAUUGAGCAGAUAGGACCCGAGAUGUAUGGUGAGGGAGAGACAGAUAGAAAUGAUGACUUUAGACCAGUACUGUUAAAUAAAAUGUUCUGAAGUAAAAGAAAUGUUUUAUAUCUGUACUGUCUACUGUGGUAGCCAUUAGAUAUGUGACUGUUGAAUACUUAAAAUGUCACUAAUAUAACUGAAAUGGAAUUUUUAGUUUUACUAAAUAACCACAUGCAAGUGGUGGCUACCAUAUUGGUUAGCCCAGCUGUAGAAAUUUGGCUUUAACAAAUGAGUGGAUGGUAGUGUCAUUUACUGAAAUGGGCAAGAGUACGAGAAAAGCAGACUUGUAAUGAAAAUCAGGAUUUCUAUUUGGAUCACGUUAAGUUUGAGGUGCCUAGUGGUUACACAUGGGGAUAUAUCAAGUAGUACGCAGAAUAUGUGAAUCCAGAGUUCCUGGGAAGGUAAGGAAUAUAAUUGUAGACUUAAGAAUUAUCAACACAUAGAUUUUAUUUAUACCUAUGAAACCAUGAAGCCACCUAGAGAGAGUAUAUAGGCAGAAGAGGGCUCAAUGACAGAGGGUAACAUUCUAACAUUUAAUAAUCAAAAUAGAAUCCAGCAUAAAAGACUGUGAAAGAAAAGUCAGUCUCAAGAGGUACACACUGAAGUAGAGAAAACCAGGUCAGGGGCUGUUGAAGAAGGGUUAUUUCUUCCACAUCAGUUUUGGAAAGCACCCUUGCCCUUGGAAUGUCAAGCAGGACCAGAUGGAGCCAGGGAAUAAAAAGCCUUAGUUUGACAGCUUUUAAGAUAUAUAGGGGAGGGGAUGAAUUUUGGUAGGGAUUUGGACCUGAAGCUGAGGCUAAACAGUAAUAUUCAUUUUACGUAUAUCAUUCUGAAACUGUAAUGUAGAAGCAUUCAUGGUAUCAGAAGCAAGAAAUAGCUGGAAGCUGAUUUAAAACUUGCACCAUUUCCCAUUCAGAAAUAGCUAACCAUAAAUUUCUCCUAGUAAUAAUAAUACUGACAAUAAAAGUUUAUCUUUCUUAACAGAAACUUCAUAUUACUCUUUCACGAACAAAUCCUCUAGAGGUAAACAUCAAAAACCUCUUAAGUUUGUGUCAUACUGCAAGUUUUCAGGAGGAAAAUUAUCUGGCUGCUGUUUAGCAAGUGGAUCAUCAAUGAGUAACAAUAAGCGCAGGAAAAUGUCUGAAAGGCAAAAAGAAGAAGAAGAUGAGGACCUGGAUGAGGAGGGAAGUGAUGUUUUAGUUGGGCAGGGGGAGAAGGCUAGUAAAAAAAAAAGAUUCUAGGUUUCUUAAAUUGAGUAAAUGGGAGGCUUGUGGUAACCUUUACUAAAAUGAGAAAGAUUCAGGGGGGGAUGGGUUUAUAGGAAUUCAGCCUCGUGGGAGCUUUAUGUCAUGUUAAGAAACAUGUUUGAGAAUUUAUUUGACUUUUUCAACAAGUAGUCAUAUCAACAAUAACAAAUAUGAAUCAGAGACCUAAAUCUGGCAAUUAUACACACACACGCACACACAUGCACUUGUCAAUGAGUGAGAUCACUGGGGAGAUGGUUAGAUGAUUGUAGACAGAGGAAGGAAGAGGCCCAGGACUGCAUUGUGCAUUCCAGUAUUUGAUGGUUGAACAAAGAGAUACCAAAGAAUACUGAGAAAAAGCAUCCUGAAAAAAUAGAAAAAUAUUCAGAAGUGUGCCAUCAUGGAAGUAAAGAGAAGGAUGUAUUUUCAGAAGGAAGGAGUAGUAAACUGUGUCAAAUGAUGCUGAUAAGUAGACUUAAAUGAAAUCUAGGAGGUGCCUGGUGGCUCAGUCAGUUAAGUGUCCCACUCUUGAUUUCAGCUCAGGUCAUGAUCUUGGAGUUCUGGGAUCAAGCCCUGCAGCAGGAUCCCCACUCAGCGGGGGUUUUGGGUGUCUCCCCUCCCUCUGCCCCUCUUCUCGAGUAUGCUCUCUCACUCUCUCUCUCUCAAUCUCUGUCAAGUAAAUAAAUAAAUCUUUUUUUUAAAAAAUGAAGUCUAGGGCGCCUGGGUGGCUCAGUUGGUUAAGCGACUGCCUUCGGCUCAGGUCAUGAUCCUGGAGUCCUGGGAUCGAGUUCCGCAUCGGGCUCCCUGCUCGGCAGGGAACCUGCUUCUGCCUCUGACCCUCCCCCCUCUCAUGUGCUCUCUCUCUCUCAUUCUCUCUGUCUCAAAUAAAUAAAUAAAAUCUUUAAAAUAAAAUAAAAUAAAAUAAAAAAUAAAAAAUGAAGUCUACAAAGUAACUACUGAUUUUAGCCUGAAGAGAUAAAUAUGAUCGUAAUUCUGGUAGAUUCAGUGGAAUAAUAGUGAAGGAGGCCUAUGCAGAGUGGGUUAGGCAAAGAAUGGUAAAUUGAUCAGAAUGAAUGGAGAACAUUAGAAAAGAAUGGAUAGACACUGGUUUUAAGGUGUUUCUUUCCUUAGUAUCACUUAUCCAUCUUAAGUUGUUUCCUCAUUUUCUUUCCUCCAUAUUUAUCAUCAUCUUGUCCCUUUUGUUCUUAUAUUGUACAUGCUAGGAAAGUCCAUCUUCCCUAUCACUGAUGAGAUUUUGACAUUGUUUUGGUCUUUAUUUAAACCAGAACAUCCUUUAAUUCUAUAAUUAAACACCAAAUGUCCUAACAUUACUUUUCAAACCUUAACCAGAUCAUUUUUAAUCUCAACCAAUAGUUCUUAAAACUCAGCUGCCUUCGGGCGCCUGGGUGGCUCAGAUGGUUAAGCAUCUGCCUUCGGCUCAGGUCAUGAUCCCAGCGUCCUGGGAUCGAGUCCUGCAUCGGGCUCCGUGCUCCUUGGGAGCCUGCUUCUCCCCCUGCCUCUCUCUCAAUCUCUGUCUCUCAUGAAUAAAUAAAUAAAAUUAAAAAAAAAAAAAAACUCAGCUGCCUUUAAUGUCAUAUUGGUCUGGUCUGUCUUUAUAGCUUUAGCUCCUAUAUCAUAAUGGGCAAAAUUUCAAAAAUAUUUUUCCAGUUCCUAUAAUAAAUUUUAGAGAUAUAUAUUUCCUCUGAGUCUUCAGGACAAUUUCCUCUUUCCUUUCACCUAUGGUAAUUUCCCCAUAGAUGUCAUGAGACACCUAGCAAAAUCUGAUAUUUGACAAAAUAUAGUGGACAGGGCCUGCCCUUGACUCUACUUACUUGUCUAUUUUGGGGCUAGUUGAAACCCCACCUUAAAUCUGCAGCCGGUAGAUCAAUGUACAUGAAUUAUAACCCAAUUUCUAGUGUUUAUUUGAUUUUUAUAUAUUAAGACUCUGCUGGUCUGAGAUUAAAUAUUUCCUUUUCUAAACCAAUGAAGUAUCUGAAAACCUAUUGUCAAGUAGACAUACUUUUAUGCUCUAUGAGAAAAAAAUUAUUGAUACACUCCCAUUUUAUUUUUGAUUUUCUAAAUCUUGUUCCAUGGAUCUCAUAUUAGUAUUUCUCCCAGAGCUUAGCAGUAUAUUGUCUGUGAUUCAUAGAAUUUAAUAUUAAUGUAUAUUCUUAUCUUGGGUUUUUUUGGUCUAUUUUUAGGUAUGCCAAUAGGUAUUUGUGUCAUUUUGAGUAAGAAUUUGUUAGUCAAAGGUAUUUUAAUCAGGAUUUUCACAAUUUACAUUUACACUCAUCUACAAAAUAUUUUUAAUUUGGGGAAUUUUUAAAAAUUUAUAUAAAUCAGCACAGAGAAGAUACUAUUUUAAAAGUAAAUCAAGUCACCAGGUCUCUUAGAGUAAAAAAGUUCAUUAAAGGUCUAAAUGCCAAUAGGAAAAUUAUAUAUAUAGUUAUUAUGAGAGAGGAAAUAAAAGUAAUUUAUAUUUAUGUCAAGGAUUGAGAUUAUUACAUAAUCUGAAAAAGUUAAGCCAUUUUUAAGCCUUCCAAACUAUCAUUCAAUGUACUUCAUUGAAUGACAGGAAUCCCAACUCACUAAUAAUUCUUAUGCAUUUUCUCUGUAUUAUUAAUUUAAUUUACCCUUGAAUCAUUUAAAACAUAAUCCUGGAGUCAUGACAUUCUGAUUUUGAAAGUUGCAUUGAGUUGUUUUUCUGACAUGCUUAAGCAGAUGGUCACUUCGGCAGAAAUACUAUGUUGUCGACAGGAUAUUGUAUGGUUUUAAAGCGCCAAGGUGGUCAUUGUUAUUUUCAGGCUACCCAUUCUUUACAAGUGGGGACUGUUAUCAGUCUUCUGCAAUGAGAUUCUUAUUGAGGAGAAAUUUUUUUCAGUCUCAGCUGUCAUACAGCUCUGCUCAGAAAGAAAAGAGUCAUCUGUGAAUUUAAAAAUUGCACAUAUCUCCCUAAAUCACUGACAUCUUUACCUAAUCAUUGGAACAAAGUUUCAAUUUAUAAAAACAAAUUCCAAAGUACAUAUUUUGGAUCUAUGGUGAUUAGAGAGCACACAUCAAGUUAACAGUAUGAAUAUAUUAUGAUGUAUUUACCAGACACAAACAAAAAACAAAGAAGAAAUUGAUAAUUGGCAUGGCAAAUGCAAAAUGUGCCAAAUGGUCCUCCUAAAUAUUGAGGGAAAGAGAGUUAAACAUAAUGCUAUACUUUACACUAAUGAAAAUGUCCAGUAUAUUCCUUUCCCAAAGCAAAAUAACAUGUUAAUGACUCUGCUCAAUGUUGUUUUUGUUAAUGGGACAUCCAAGGAAGCACUCCUUCUGGAGCCAUAAACUGUGUUGAAGGACAAAGAUCAAAACCGCUAUCCAUUGCUUCUCGCUGGUGGCUGGAACUAAAGCCCUCGGUCGGAAUGGUUAUCAUUACUGUAAGUGGCUGCCUAGCCACUUAGAAUGCCAUAGCCCAUCUUCAUUGUUCCUUCUUCCGAGGAAUAGCAACGAUGUAUAUAUAUUUGCUGAGAAAUUUCAGCAUGGUAUUCCAGGAUUCAUGAAAGGGAAAGACUCCUUAAUUCCCGAAUAUCUAUUUCCUACUUGUCCUGAGAAAUCAACUCAAAUAUCAUACUUACAUAAAAGUUUUUUCAGUAGUGAGAGAAGAGCAUUUCAUUUCUAUGUAGAGGUGGAGCCAAUUAGGAUAAUAACAGGAUGUAAGGAACAGUUGAGCACAGGAUGGGAUACAGACAUCUUCAUCCUGAUGUCUUCAGUGCAGAGACUGAAAUCACUUGGGCUGAUGAUAGGGGUCAGAAAGGAUGGAAAGAUUAUGAACCUGGGGCUAAUUCACUGAGGACUAAUGGCAGACUGUCCUAGAUUUGUGUCCUUCUCAACAUGGCCAGAAAUAGUACACCUUUCCCACUAGGGGGCAGUAAUCUAACCACCCUGACAGUCACAGGACUUUGCUAUUCCCUAAAACCCCCUCUGUAGAGAUCUGUCCCUUAGCUUCCUUAUCUUCUAUCUCAGCCUGGACUUUGAGAGUUUCUUAGUGUACUCAUGAUUUUUUGCUAUGUCUGUUAGCUGUCUGACUAUUCAAGACUUAAGCUAAAAUAUAUGUAUUUCUUAGUUUCUGCCAAGAACUUUGGCUAUGACAGUAUUGAUUGAUUUAGUUUUCAUAACAACUCUCUGAUGAAAGAUUAUUGUCCCCAUUUUGGAAGUAAGGGCACUAAGUCAUAACACAGUUAAGUAAUAUGCCUAAAUUAGUAAGAAAUGAGCCAAGGCUUAUACUCAUAUUUACAUAUUUACAAUAAAGCCUGUUGAACCAUUAUGCAUACAGCCACCCAUCUGCUUCAUUUGUCCAAAAGAGGAUAUUGCUUAGAUGUUUGAUAGCUUUACUCAAAAGGAAAGAAUGUGCUAAUCUUCCAUGCUCAGAGAAGCAAAGCAGCUAGGCACGUGUGUGUGUGUGUGUGUGUGUGUGUGUGUGUGUUGGAGAUCCAGCAUCUCAACCUAAAUUACUGUUACUAAAGACUGAUAGAAUGUAAUGAAACUCUCAUCCCCAUUGCAGUACUUGUAAUAUUAAUUGUAACCCAUAAUUUUGAUUUUCAGAGUUUUGCUAAAAUGCAUUACUCUUUAUAUCUUAAAAUAUAUUUUGUGUUGGGGCGCCUGGGUGGCUCAGUCGUUAAGCGUCUGCCUUCGGCUCAGGUCAUGAUCCCAGGGUCCUGGGAUCGAGCCCCGCAUCGGACUCCCUGCUCUGCGGGAAGCCUGCUUCUCCCUUUCCCACUCCCCCUGCUUGUGUUCCCUCUCUCACUAUGUCUCUCUCUGUUAAAUAAAUAAAAUCUUAAAAAAAAAAUAUAUAUAUAUAUUUUGUGUGUGUGUGUGUCAUUUAUGAUUAUGUUUUGUAUAGAUGUUGGUUUUUAAAAAGGGGCAAGCUAAAAAAGGGCCAUGUCCAAAACUAAUAGGACAAUAGAAACAAGAAGUUGAUUAUGUACUAUGUUUCUGAUUUGGCUGAGAUGAAUAUAAUGAGAA